UACGGGAGGGAGCUAGCGUUGUUCGGAAUUACUGGGCGUAAAGCGCACGUAGGCGGCUUUGUAAGUUAGAGGUGAAAGCCCGGGAGCUCAACUCCGGAACUGCCUUUAAGACUGCAUCGCUUGAAUCCAGGAGAGGUGAGUGGAAUUCCGAGUGUAGAGGUGAAAUUCGUAGAUAUUCGGAAGAACACCAGUGGCGAAGGACGGCUCACUGGAGCUGGUAUUGACGCUGAGGUGGCGAAAAGCGUGGGGAGCAAACAGG
rnacentral:rRNA from 1 species